CCUACGGGCGGCAGCAGUGGGGAAUAUUGCACAAUGGGGGAAACCCUGAUGCAGCGACGCCGCGUGAGUGAAGAAGUUUCUCGGCAUGUUAAGCUCUAUCAGCAGGGAAGAAAAUGACGGUACCUGAUUAAGAAGCCCCGGCUAACUACGUGCCAGCAGCCGCGGUUACACGUAGGGGGCCAGCGUUAUCCGGAUGUACUGGGUGUAAAGGGAGGGUAGACGGCAGCACAAGUCUGGAGGGAAAGGCCGGGGCUUAACCCCGUGACUGCUUUGGAAACGGUGGAGUUGGGGUGCCGGGGGGGUAAGGGGAAUUCCAAGUGUGGGGGUGAAAUGCGUAGAUAUUAGGAGGAACACGAGUGGCGAGGGCGGCUUACUGGACUGUAACUGAGGUUGAGGCUCGAAGGCGUGGGGAGCAAACAGGAUUAGAUACCCGAGUAGU
rnacentral:rRNA from 1 species